CAUUCUCUUUGUAUUGAAAAACAUUAGUAAACAUUGAAAUUGGUUUGCUGUUUGAUUGAGAAUUAAAUUGGAAAUUUUAAUACUUUUCAAUCGAAUUGAAAUCAAAUAAAAACGUCAUUAUGGAUACCAACGCGGAGAAGGAGAAAUUUGAAUGUGAAUCGACUGGAAACGCGGUUGCUGGUAUGAUAUGAGAAUUCCAAUUGUCACGAGAGGAGAGUGAGAAAAGAGAACGUGCAACUAUUGAGAAGUGGUUUCCUCAUUGGUCAUGGGAUGAAUAUGCAGCUAAAAUUGCCGAAACGGAAGCUCAAUUUCCACGACCACCAGAAGUUGUACAUUCAGAUCCCCAACGUCAGGCUGAAUUUGAAAGUAUGUGGUAUAUAUCACAGAAAAUGGAGGCAGCUAAGAAACGAUGGUCUGAAUUGAAUGCGGAAUUUGAAGCGUAUUGCCGGGGAAAAAGAAUGGAAUGAAAUUUAGAAUCUUUGUACGAUAUCACGCUAUCUACUCCAAAUGGAUCAUUUAUGGAUUUCUAUUACAAAUAUCAAUUCACAAACCGCUGUCAUUCAUUUGAGAUCCAAUGAAAAAGUUGAUUGCACGAAUUGCUGAUAAGUUUUUAUUUAACUUCAUUUUGAAUGAGUGUGUUAUCUGCUUCAAUUUAAAUCCUUAUCUCCUUUUCCCGGAGUAUAUGAUUCGCUGUACACGAUGCACUGACAUAGCAAUCCAUGCGAGCUGUUUUGCUCAUCAGGCGCAACAGAUUGGGCUACACCAUCGCUAUUCGUGUCCAUUGUGCACUGUGCAUACUGAUUAUGGUUGGAGAUAAUUGGGAGGAAGAAAAAAUGAUUGAAGGGAUCCGAUCGCUACAUGUUUGGGCUAACACAACCACGACGGACGAAGAAAAAGGAGAUUAUGCACGCAAUUCGACUCAAUUCCUGAAUCUUAUUCCACUUCAUAGUGGAAAUUUAUAGUAAUCGACACAUAAACGUUCCCUUUGUUACAUUGCAUUAAGAAUUCAAUUUGUUCUGAUCUACUGUUCAUGUGAAGAAGGAAUAAAUCCAACAUAGAAAUGUAGUGUGCAAUUGAAUCGAAAUCAAAUAAAAACGUCAUUAUGGCUACGAAUCCUGCCAAAAAAAGUUACGUACGAACUAACCGAAGAGUUUUUGGACUUGUUUCGAGUUGCAAAGCAUUGAAAUGAGGAAGUUGAACAGCAAUUUUACCGAAAAUACCUUCCAGAAGAAGAAUGGGCUGCAUAUCAGGCUCAAAUUGACAAAUCCUAAGGAAAUUAUCCACCUCCCGACCAACAACUUUCCGACCCUGUAGCUCAAGCGAGAUACGAAGAACUGUGGGAAAUGAAAUGUGAAGCAGCUGCAUCUUACAAACAAAUGGAACCCAUAGGACAAGAAAUGGUCAAAUGAAUGGAGGAAAGAGAAAGAGCAAAACAGUACAACGUGCAAAAUGGGAAUCGAAAUCCUUGGCCGGUCGAUCAAAAUGACUGUGAAACUCGAGAGAAAGCUAGAUAGUUCUCUAGAGAAAACGAAAAAUUGCACGGAAGAACCAUUGCAACUGUAACGACAUUCAUGAAGAUGCAUGAAAGGAAACUGAGCUUGGACCGUUUGCAAAAUUCUAUCCAGAGAAGAAUUGAUCAAAACAGAAGCGUGUGCAAAACGAAAAGCAGAAUCAAAAUCAAUUCGUAUGAAUCUAUUAGCAUGAUCUACCUCUUAUGAACUAAGAAAACCUAAUCAAUUGAAAUAAGAAUUCAUUUGGAUGUUCAAAAAGCAGUUAGAACCACAUAACGUAUCAUUCUUAGCUUCGUUCAAUGGAAGUGCGGAUGUUCUUGCCGAUGCUUUUACCUAUUCAAAUUUAUCAAAACAUCUUGAUUUCAUACAUCUUACAAUAGACACGAUUGAUGCGGAGAAGAACGAGAGCAACAGCAUUUCAGAUUUAACUUACAUGAUUAACCGCUUAGAAAAAUAUGGUUUGUCAUCCAAAAAAAAAUUGUGAUUGGAAUCCAGAAAUUCGGCGGAAAAGAAAUGGACGUUUUAAUGGCUAUUCGUUAUUAUUCUUUUGUUUGAAAAAAAAAAAAAAACGGACACAGCCGCCUAUGGCCCGAACCAAUUGCAGUUAGUCUGAUUGAAAACGAUACCCUUCGCUUUAAAUCGGCCCGUUCAAUUGCGAACCAAGUUCGAUUUGCCAUGAAACGUAAUUUAGUUGGUAUCAUGGUAUUCGCUGUAAAUUCCUAUGAUUAUUUUAAUCAUUCGGAAUUUGUGUCAGAUACAUUCGCCGAUUUCAAGCCAGCGACUGGUGUCACAUUGAAUUUUCCAAAACAAAAUAGUGGUAAUUAUCCACUCCUAUCGACCAUAGACACGGCUAUGAAUAUCGCACUGGACGAACUAGCUCAAGAAGUAGAACUACAAAAGAAAGUUGUUUUAAUUUAGAAAUUCGUUUAGAAGAAAACAAUAAACGCAUAAUUUUUCAAAUAAUUUAUUGCCAUCAAUUUUUUCCAGCAAACAAUCAAUUGAACAG